rnacentral:lncRNA from 1 species
UCCCUUUUUAUUAUUGAGUAUUUUGUACUUUGUGCUUUACAAGUAUUUAUUUGGGCCUGUUGUCUUUUUUAAAAAGUUUAGAACUAUUUUAAGUAUAUCCUCAGUUUAUUGAAUGUGUAUCCCUCAUCAGCCUCCCACUUAUUUUUAAAGCCUUUCAUUUGCUUUCGUUUUGGUGGUAUUAGGGUUUCAACCUGGUGUUUGGCAAAAACUAGCUCUGAACCACACUGAGCUUUUCCUAUUGAAAGAUAUUUUGUGGAUUACUUUCUAUGUUGGCAAUUUUAUCUCAGCUCAUAAAAGUGUUAUUCUCCUAGCUUGUGAUUUCCUUUAUAGAGAAGUCAACUUCAAGUGAAACUGUGUAUUUUCUUUGAAGUUCCUAUCUCUUUUACUCUGACUAAUUUUAGGAGUAUGUACAUUUUUAGAUAUUCAUUUAUACAUUUUGGUAUAUUCCUUCAUUUAUGUAGGUUCAGCAACUUAUUCUAAAAAUCUAAAACUCGAAAUACCCCAAAGUCUAAAAUACGUUGAAUGCUUACAGGGUGCCAUAAGUAGAAAAUUCUACACUAUAAUCUUUGUUACAUGGCCGAAUUUUUAAAAUAGGGUAUUCAAUCUGUAUAUUACAAGGUGUGUCUGAAAUGUCUAUGAAUUUUUGUGAUUAUAAUUCUUUCCAUCCUUAGGAUAUAUUAUUAUGUAGAUAUAGAUUUUCCAACCCCCUCAAACACAUAAUAAUGAAAAUAUAUCUGGUCUAAAAUGUUUUAGAUAAAUAAUUUUUAGCCAGCACUCUUUUUUUUCUGAUAAUUUGUGUGCACUUUUGGAGACUAUGGUCUCAUUGGUCAUAUCAGAGUAGAAUGUUAUCUCUUCAAGUUUUGCCUCUGCCAAGUGAGUGUUCUACUAGGUUGUAGGUUAGACCCUUGAGCUAGACUCUUUAUAUCAUUGACUCAUUCUUCUGUAUUGAACCAACAUACUGUUUCUCUAUGCUACAGGCUCAAUUAUUUCUUCUCAUUUAUUUUUAAGUUCACUAAUUCUUUAUUGUGCACUAUUUAAUUUAUAUUAAAACCCAUUGUUUAAAUAUGGUGUGGAUAUUUUCAUGUAUAUAAUUCAUAUUUGUUUCUAUCUUUAUAAAUAUAUUCCAUUAUUUUCUAUAGUUUCCUCUUUCUGGUCAAUUCAAGAUAAAAAAUUAUUUAUAGCUACCUGGUUAUUUUUAUCCAGAAAACUGAUGAAUAAUUCAGUACUAGAAAUAGGUUGUUCCUGCUUUAUGCAUUCCUUUUAUCUUUGGUGGGAGCAGCAUCAUUAGGCCCUUGAUUUCAUCAUCCUAAUCACAGACUAUCUGCAGUUACUGUUUAUGCUUUUAAGAGACUAAGUGUUUUCUUAGGUGGCCUUACUCUAUAAACUAACACCAACUCUGCCCCACGCCUUGUGGUACCUCAGGCCAAAGACCCAUGAUGGAUAACAGAGCAUGCAGUCAGAAUGCAAGCAGAAAAACAUGAAUCCCAGGGGUAUAGGGUUAAUGUUCUGGCAGAGGGUUUUUGUUGUUGUUAUUGUCAUGGAUCAAAGUAUAGAACAUGAAUGAGAUCUAUGAUUAGAACACAUCACAAAGGAAGGAAGGGGAAGGCAGAGUACUGAAAAUUGUUAGCUUUACUUGGGAGAGGUAGAGGAACGAAAGCCAGAAAAAAAAUCACUGAAAAGUUAAAAUAAUUUUAAACCCUAUUAAAAGUGUGGAAUCCAGGUGUGGAGAUCUGGCUCUGAGGUUAAGGGAACCCUUUCCUCUUGCAGAGGAUCUAGUUCCCACAUCAGGCUCACAACUGCCAAUAACUCCCCUGAUCUGAUAUCCCUUUGUCUUCUUCCUUCUCCUCCUCCUCCUCCUCCUACACACACACACACACACACACACACACACACACACACAAAUAAGCAAUAAUUAAUGUUUUAGAAAAUGAUUUUAAAAUUGCAAUCCAGGGCCUGGCUAAGAGCAAUAUAGUAGUUAAAAAGGACUGGCUUUUCUUCAAGAGGACCUGUGUUCAAUCCCUAGUAAGUACUCUCCUGGUAGCUAACAUCCACCUGCAACUCCAGUUCCUGGAAAAUUAAUGCCCUAUUUUGGCUUUUGUAGGCAUAGAUGCAUUUUGUACCUACACAUACAUUCAAGGGUGAAAAGUACUCCUAUACAUAAAUAACAUCUCAAAAUACAUUUUAAAAGAUCUAAGCUAUUGAGCUCUCUGCACUCUGAGUACCAGGAAAGGUUAAGAGGAUGGGGCCUGAAACAUGCAUGGCCUUUGAGAUACUGUCCAAAGUGGUUGAUAUAAGGCGAGACUCCUGAAACAGAAUGAAUGACAGAGAAUUUGUAGUUUACAAGAUGGAGCACAGAGAUCGCAGCAUCCUGGUGCGAUUGUGUUAGAGGCUAGCAAUUGGUGGCCUGCAAACCAGAUCUAGGUCAUUGCAUAUUUUCAGAAAUAGUGUUUUAUUAGAUAGUAUAUAGUUGUGACUAAUUCUCACACUUGCUAUUUACAGAAAUUCGGGAAUCAUGUCAUGGUGGCAUAUGUUAGAAAUCCAAGCAGGUAUAAGGCAGUGGCAGGAGGAUUAGGAGUUCAAGGCCAGUACAGGCUACAAUGAAACCUGAUCUUCUAAAAGGCAAAACACAAACAAAAGGAAAAGGAGGAGGAAAAAAAGGAGGAGGAGGAGAAGAAGAAAGAGAAGGAGAGAAAAGGAGAAGAAGAAAAAGAAGG